rnacentral:rRNA from 1 species
AUUGAACGCUGGCGGCAGGCCUAACACAUGCAAGUCGAGCGAGCGGCGGACGGGUGAGUAAUGUAUGGGGACUGCCCGAUAGAGGGGGAUAACUACUGGAAACGGUGGCUACUACCGCAAACUAUAGGAUAACCCCUAUGGGAUUGGCUAGUAGGUGGGGUAAAGGCUCACCUAGGCGACGAUCUCUAGCUGGUCUGAGAGGAUGAUCAGCCAAAUUGGGACUGAGUCACGGCCCAGACUCCUACGGAGGCAGCAGUGGGGAAUGUUGGACAAUGGGCGCAAGCCUGAUGCAGCCAUGCCGCGUGUAUGAAGAAGGCCUUAGGGUUGUAAAGUACUUUCAGCGGGGAGGCGUUACCCGCAGAAGAAGCACCGGCUAACUUCGUGCCAGCAGCCGCGGUAAUUC